GUGUCAGCCGCCGCGGUAAUACGUAGGGUGCAAGCGUUGUCCGGAAUUAUUGGGCGUAAAGAGCUCGUAGGCGGUCUGUCGCGUCGGCUGUGAAAACCCGGAGCUCAACUCCGGGCCUGCAGUCGAUACGGGCAAACUGGAGUGUUGCAGGGGAGACUGGAAUUCCUGGUGUAGCGGUGAAAUGCGCAGAUAUCAGGAGGAACACCGGUGGCGAAGGCGGGUCUCUGGGCAACAACUGACGCUGAGGAGCGAAAGCGUGGGGAGCGAACAGGAUUAGAAACCCUAGUAGUCC
rnacentral:rRNA from 1 species